rnacentral:lncRNA from 1 species
GCAGCGCGGUGGGAUUUUCAUGUAAUGGCCAAGCUUAAGGUCUGCCAAAAAUGAGAGAGCAUGGACUGUGCUGAUUCUCCCGUAAAUCUUGAAAAUCAGGUUUGCAAUGGGUUUUCCAGGCAGGAUAUAACCGAUAAUGAACUGCCCUAUUAUAUCAUAUCCUGGUUGCUGCAUUUUAAAAAACAACACACAAAAAGAUAUGAGCAUGUGUUAUUGGAAGAGGCAUUGUCUUAUAUAUAAACUAGUAUGUAACCUGAUUUGUAGUUGCUUGAAUGACACCGAUAGGGAGUGUGACAAUGAAGGCCAAUGCAAAAGCAAAGAGCAUUCCCCACCAUGGAAGCUGCACUGACUCCUUCCACACAAAAGACAUUAGGAGAGACAUGGC